rnacentral:lncRNA from 1 species
UGGGAUUAAAAGGUGUUAAAAAUUAUCAUAAAAAGUUACUACGCAGACUCGGGUUUAUCCAAUAAUGAAAUUACAACACAGCAUUUUUAGAUUUGAAAUUAACAUUACUCAACCCUUUUAGAUUUCUCUGAAUAUGCUUUCUUGAGGUGUGCUUUCCUGGAAUGUGCUGGGUGUGCCAGGCGGUUGGAUCCAGUUUUCAUCAUCAUGGCUGAACUCUGAAGAAAAACCAUUAGCCUCAGACAUCUUGGAUCAAGAAAGGGUACCCGCACCCAGACCCUGCAAAAGGUGGUGAAGAAGGUGCUGGGCGAGGGCGACGCCGGCGGCAGCGGGGACUGGCCCGACUUCCGGGUCCCAGUGGAAGGCCAAGCACCCAGGUUUCCCCCUUCCAGGAACCCGGAAGCACCCGGGUCGAGGCCUACCUGGACGGAUAAAGGGAGCCCGGCGGGUCGCUUACCGGGAGGACCAGGCAAGGGUGUAGGGGAGGAGGAGCCCUCAGAACCCCUGGACUCAGCAGAGACGGAGUGCCGUUUCCGAACUGCAUGUGCCACAAUAUUGGGAACCCCUAAGUUACCAUCAAAGUCGUGGCAGAUUCUCUGCAUGGCGAAGCCAAGAAAUUGGAUUGUACGGUCUAGGAGCUGCUUCCUGAAUUCUAUGGUGUUGUUCACAAUUCAGUUCUCCUGGUCAUCAUCCGCCCUAAGCACCUCCUAGACUUCCUCCCACCAGUCAUCCAUGGAGGACACUUGGGUUUGUGCUGCCUCCACCAAAGUCUCCAUUAUGUUCUUUUUGGAGCAUUGCUGACUGCACCAGUAUUCUUGCAUAUACAUAUAUACAUAUACAUAUACAUAUACAUACAUACAUAAUCAUAUAUAUAUAUGAAAUCAUGGCAUGUCCUAAAAAAAUGAAUAUAUAUAUCAGAAUUCUUGGAUGGAAGUUGUUCA